rnacentral:rRNA from 1 species
UCGAGGAUCUUCGGCAAUGGGCGCAAGCCUGACCGAGCGACGCCGCGUGCGCGAUGAAGGCCUUCGGGUUGUAAAGCGCUGUCGAGGGGGAGGAAAGCCCGCAAGGGUUUGACCGACCCCUGGAGGAAGCACGGGCUAAGUUCGUGCCAGCAGCCGCGGUAAGACGAACCGUGCGAACGUUGUUCGGAUUCACUGGGCUUAAAGGGCGCGUAGGCGGGUCACCCAGUCUCGGGUGAAAUCUUUCGGCCCAACCGGAAAAGGGCCCGGGAUACUGGUGACCUCGAGGAAGGUAGGGGCGGCCGGAACUUCCGGUGGAGCGGUGAAAUGCGUAGAGAUCGGAAGGAACGCCGGUGGCGAAAGCGGGCCGCUGGACCUUUUCUGACGCUGAGGCGCGAAAGCCAGGGGAGCGAACGG